rnacentral:rRNA from 1 species
CGGCAACAGCUCAAAUUUGAAAUCUGGCCCCAGGCCCGAGUUGUAAUUUGCAGAGGAUGCUUCUGGCGACGUGCCUUCCGAGUUCCCUGGAACGGGACGCCAUAGAGGGUGAGAGCCCCGUCCGGUCGUGCACCUAGCCUCUGUGAAGCUCCUUCGAC